rnacentral:sRNA from 1 species
GCUGGGCUUGGUGGCACAUGCCUGUAAUCCCAGCUGCUCAGGAGGCUGAGGCAGGAGGACAGCAAGUUCAAAGCCAGCCUCAGCAAUGGUGAGACACUAAGCAACUCAGUGAGAUCCUGUCUCUA